rnacentral:rRNA from 1 species
UACGUAGGGGGCUAGCGUUGUCCGGAAUCAUUGGGCGUAAAGCGCGUGUAGGCGGCUCGGUAAGUCCGCUGUGAAAGUCGGGGGCUCAACCCUCGAUGCCGGUGGAUACUGUCGGGACUAGUGACGGAAGAGGCGAGUGGAAUUCCUGGUGUAGCGGUGAAAUGCGCAGAUAUCAGGAGGAACACCAAUUGCGAAGGCAGCUCGCUGGGACGUUACUGACGCUGAGACGCGAAAGCGUGGGGAGCAAACAGG